GCCCAGGUGGCGGAAUAGGCAGACGCGCUAGCUUGAGGGGCUAGUGACCAUUAACGGUCGUGGGGGUUCAAGUCCCUUCCUGGGCACCG
rnacentral:tRNA from 1 species